AGAGUUUGAUCCUGGCUCAGAGUGAACGCUGGCGGCGUGCCUAACACAUGCAAGUCGAACGAGAACGGAUAUAAGUUUACUUAUAUUGUCAGCUAAGUGGCGCACGGGUGAGUAAUAUAUAGUUAAUCUGCCCUGAAGAAGAGAAUAAUUGUUGGAAACGACUUGUAAUGCUCUAUAUGCCUUUAUCACAUAAGUGAGCAAGGGAAAUAUUUAUAGCUUCGGGAUGAGACUGUACGGUAUCAGCUAGUUGGUGAGGUAAUGGCUCACCAAGGCUAUGACAUCUAACUGGUUUGAGAGGAUGAUCAGUCACACUGGAACUGAGACACGGUCCAGACCCCUACGGGAGGCAGCAGUGGGGAAUAUUGCACAAUGGAGGAAACUCUGAUGCAGCAACGCCGCGUGGAGGAUGACACAUUUCGGUGCGUAAACUCCUUUUAUUAGGGAAGAUAAUGACGGUACCUAAUGAAUAAGCACCGGCUAACUCCGUGCCAGCAGCCGCGGUAAUACGGGGGGUGCAAGCGUUACUCGGAAUCACUGGGCGUAAAGAGCAUGUAGGCUGAUUAGUAAGUUGGAAGUGAAAUCCUAUGGCUCAA
rnacentral:rRNA from 1 species